AGAGUUUGAUCCUGGCUCAGGAUGAUUGCUGGCGGCGUGCCUAACACAUGCAAGUCGAACGGAGCCUAAUCAGCAGAAGCGGACAGCUUGCUGGAAGCAGAAGCAGAAAAGGCUUAGUGGCGGACGGGUGAGUAACGCGUGGGUAACCUGGCCCAUACAGGGGGAUAACACUUAGAAAUAGGUGCUAAUACCGCAUAACAACAGAAAGCGCAUGCUUUGUGUUUGAAAACUGAGGUGGUAUGGGAUGGACCCGCGUCUGAUUAGCUGGUUGGCGGGGUAAUGGCCCACCAUGGCGACGAUCAGUAGCCGGCCUGAGAGGGUGGACGGCCACAUUGGGACUGAGACACGGCCCAAACUCCUACGGGAGGCAGCAGUGGGGAAUAUUGCACAAUGGGGGAAACCCUGAUGCAGCGACGCCGCGUGAGUGAAGAAGUAAUUCGUUAUGUAAAGCUCUAUCAGCAGGGAAGAAAAUGACGGUACCUGAUUAAGAAGCCCCGGCUAACUACGUGCCAGCAGCCGCGGUAAUACGUAGGGGGCAAGCGUUAUCCGGAUUUACUGGGUGUAAAGGGA
rnacentral:rRNA from 1 species